rnacentral:rRNA from 1 species
UACGAAGGGUGCAAGCGUUACUUGGAAUUACUGGGCGUAAAGCGUGCGUAGGCGGUUUGUUAAGUCCGUUGUGAAAGCCCUGGGCUCAACCUGGGAAUUGCAGUGGAUACUGGCAAGCUAGAGUACGGUAGAGGAUGGUGGAAUUCCCGGUGUAGCGGUGAAAUGCGUAGAGAUCGGGAGGAAGGCCGGUGGCGAAGGCGGCGCUCUGGAACGGCCCUGACACUGAGACGCGAAAGCGUGGGGAGCGAACCGG